rnacentral:rRNA from 1 species
GAGUUUGAUCCUGGCUCAGAUUGAACGCUGGCGGCAUGCCUUACACAUGCAAGUCGAACGGCAGCAUGAUCUAGCUUGCUAAAUUGAUGGCGAGUGGCGAACGGGUGAGUAAUACGAUCGGAACGUGCCCUGUAGUGGGGGAUAACUAGUCGAAAGAUUAGCUAAUACCGCAUACGACCUGAGGGUGAAAGUGGGGGACCGCAAGGCCUCAUGCUAUAGGAGCGGCCGAUGUCUGAUUAGCUAGUUGGU